CAAGAGGUCCAGAAACUGAAGAAAUGAGUCUUUUCCUCCAGAUUCUCCCUUCCAAAUGUGACCUCAGAAACAUCAGAAAGAGGUUUGUUUCUGCAGAUCUUUUACACAUCAAGAUAAGGCAAGAACUGCAGUGCUUGAAAGCCAGGUUACUGUAAACCACCAAAGUUUUUUUUCUUCUACUGCUCCAAUUGAGUCUUUGUAUUCCUCCUGUACCCCCUCCUGUGACAGGAAACCACAGCAUAAUUAUCCCUUUUAUCAAACCACAAGCUUUAUCUUAAAACCAGGUAAGGUUUCUGCCUUCCACAACUGCAAGAGGAAGGUUGUUUCAAAACCUCAUUACAUCAGCUAUUACUAACAUCUUUCUUCUUUCAUCAUAAAUUUGUCUAUAA